rnacentral:rRNA from 1 species
GACGAACGCUGGCGGCGUGCUUAACACAUGCAAGUCGAACGGGUCUGCCCUGUUUUUUGCGGGGUGGGUCAGUGGCGAACGGGUGAGUAACACGUGAGUAACCUGCCCCUCACUUCUGGAUAACCGCUUGAAAGGGUGGCUAAUACGGGGUGUUCUGGCUGUGCCGCAUGGUGUGGCUGGGAAAGAUUCACUUUUGUGGUGUUUUGGUGGGGGAUGGGCUCGCGGCCUAUCAGCUUGUUGGUGGGGUGAUGGCCUGCCAAGGCUUUGACGGGUAGCCGGCCUGAGAGGGUGGGCGGUCACACUGGGACUGAGAUACGGCCCAGACUCCUGCGGGAGGCAGCAGUGGGGGGUAUUGCACAAUGGGCGGAAGCCUGAUGCAGCGACGUCGCGGGAGGGAUGGAGGCCUUCGGGUUGUGAACCUCUUUCGCCGGUGAAGAAGGUCCUGCUCUUUGUGGUGGGGUUGACGGUAGCCGGGUUAUGAAGCGCCGGCUAACUACGUG